AACGAACGCUGGCGGCAUGCCUAACACAUGCAAGUCGAACGAGACCUUCCUGCCUAGUGGCGCACGGGUGCGUACCGCGUGGGAACCUGCCCUUAGGUUCGGUAUAACUCCCCUAAGGGGGUGCUAAUACCGGAUAAUGUCUUCGGACCAAAGAUUUAUCGCUUCUGGAUGGGGCCGCGUUGGUUUGGCUAGUUGGUAGGGUAAAAGCCUACCAAGGCGACGAUCCAUAGCUGGUCUGAGAGGAUGACCAGCCACACUGGGACUGAGACACGGCCCAGACUCCUACGGAAGGGAGCAGUGGGGAAUAUUGGACAAUGGGCGAAAGCCUGAUCCAGCAGUGCCGCGUGAGUGAUGAAGGCCUUAGGGUUGUAAAGCUCUUUUACCCGGGAUGAUAAUGACAGUAACGGGAGAAUAAGCUCCGGCUAACUCCGUG
rnacentral:rRNA from 1 species